GACGAACGCUGGCGGCGUGCCUAAUACAUGCAAGUAGAACGCACAGUUUAUACCUUAGCUUGCUACACCAUAGACUGUGAGUUGCGAACGGGUGAGUAACGCGUAGGUAACCUGCCUGGUAGCGGGGGAUAACUAUUGGAAACGAUAGCUAAUACCGCAUAAUAUUAAUUAUUGCAUGAUAAUUAAUUGAAAGGUGCAAUUGCACCACUACCAGAUGGACCUGCGUUGUAUUAGCUAGUAGGUGAGGUAACGGCUCACCUAGGCGACGAUACAUAGCCGACCUGCGAGGGUGAUCGGCCACACUGGGACUGAGACACGGCCCAGACUGCUACGGGAGGCAGCAGGAGGGAAUCGUCGGCCAUGGACGAAAGUCUGACCGAGCAACGCCGCGUGAGUGAAGAAGGUUGUCGGAUCGUAAAGCUCGGUUGUAAGAGAAGAACGGGUGUGAGAGUGGAAAGUUCACACUGUGACGGUAUCUGACCAGAAAGGGACGGCUAACUACGUG
rnacentral:rRNA from 1 species